GAACUNCUCCUCAUUCGAAACAUUGGCAGGCUAGAGUCUUUGUAGAGGGGGNUAGAAUUCCAGGGGUAGCGGUNAAAUGCGUAGAGAUCUGGAGGAAUACCGGUGGCGAAGGCGGCCCCCCUGGACAAAGACUGACGCUCAGGUGCGAAAGCGUGGGGAGCAAACAGGAUUAGAUACCCUGGUAGUCCACGCCGUAANCGAUGUCGAUUUGGAGGUUGUGCCCUUGAGGCGUGGCUUCCGGAGCUAACGCGUUAAAUCGACCGCCCUGGGGAGUACGGCCGCAAGGUUAAAACUCAAAUGAAUUGACGGGGGCCCGCACAAGCGGUGGAGCAUGUGGUUUAAUUCGAUGCAACGCGAAGAACCUUACCUGGUCUUGACAUCCACAGAACUUUCCAGAGAUGGAUUUGGUGCCUUCGGGAACUGUGAGACAGGUGCUGCAUGGCUGUCGUCAGCUCGUGUUGUGAAAUGUUGGGUUAAGUCCCGCAACGAGCGCAACCCUUAUCCUUUGUUNCCAGCGGUUCGGCCGGGAACUCAAAGGAGACUGCCAGU
rnacentral:rRNA from 1 species